rnacentral:rRNA from 1 species
CGAACGCUGGCGGCAUGCCUAACACAUGCAAGUCGAACGAGACCUUCGGGUCUAGUGGCGCACGGGUGCGUAACGCGUGGGAAUCUGCCCUUGGGUUCGGAAUAACUCGCCGAAAGGCGUGCUAAUACCGGAUGAUGUCGUAAGACCAAAGAUUUAUCGCCCAGGGAUGAGCCCGCGUAAGAUUAGGUAGUUGGUGAGGUAAAGGCUCACCAAGCCGACGAUCUUUAGCUGGUCUGAGAGGAUGAUCAGCCACACUGGGACUGAGACACGGCCCAGACUCCUACGGGAGGCAGCAGUGGGGAAUAUUGGACAAUGGGCGAAAGCCUGAUCCAGCAAUGCCGCGUGAGUGAUGAAGGCCUUAGGGUUGUAAAGCUCUUUUACCCGGGAUGAUAAUGACAGUACCGGGAGAAUAAGCUCCGGCUAACUCCGU